rnacentral:rRNA from 1 species
AUGUGGGCUGCCCUGUGGAAACUCAAAGUGAUCCCAAAGGUACGAGUAUUUUGGUGGAGGGUACUACGAGGGAUUCUACCGGAUGAGUGCACUCUCAAAUACCAUCAUAUUGCAGUUUUAGACACUUGCAAGGUUUGCUUGGCAAAGGAGGAGGAUCUUAUGCAUGCCCUCAUCCAAUGCUCGCAUGCAAGCCGUUUCUGGGAUGAAGCGUGUGCGUGGUUUGGCCUUCGACUACCUCGCUUACAUCCACGCUCAUGGGCCAGAGACAUCCUAUGUGGAGACCGAGUCAAGGAGGAAGAUCGAGGAAAGAUUAUCACCAUUAUGUGGACGAUUUGGCAUUCUCGAAAUCGGAUCAAGCAUGGGGAAGAAGGAAGGGAUCCUAGAGCCGCCAUCAAGGCGACUAGGGAGGCUCUUGCAUUGUUGGAACUGCCUCGUUCAGUUCCCAUCUUACUACCAGGGCAUGGCUGGCGACCACCUGAGCCAGGGAUGGUGAAGAUCACGACGGAUGGUGCACUUAACAUCGCAGAAGGAAGAGGAGGAGCGGGUGGUGUAGCCCGUUCCUCGUCCGCGCUGUUGGGAUCAUGGUGCAAGCCGUUUGGGGAGAUCUCGGACCCUUUGUUAAUGGAAGCUAUAUCAAUGCGGGAAGGAGUGCUAUUUGCAAAGCUUCGAGGCCUCUCGCAUGUGAUAAUGGAGACAUAUUGCCAGGAGUUGGUACAACUCUGGAACACUCGCCACAAUUCACGUUCGGUUGUGGCUCCUAUCUUAGAUGAAAUAGAGAGCUAG